AUGAGAGAAAUGUAAUGUAAUCUGUCUUAAAUAAAAAAGGUCUAUUACAUGUAUGUAUCUUAUACUGAUAUUCCCUUGCAUUACUCAAAAUGCCUACUUUCAAAUAUGGUAUUUGUACGAUGCAAACAUUUAAUGUGAAUCCUACGAAUAGAAUAUUAGUGUGUUGAGAAAUGAAAAUAUGUCAACAGUACUGAUUUUUACAAUGAAUCAGCCUUGUUCAGUAAAGAACUGACUCACUCAUCAACAAUAUGUGCAACAUCCUGCUGCCCUGUCCUCCACCAGACGCAGUGUGCCACUGUCAGCAUCACAACGUGGGCAGAGGGAGGGGGCAGACAUUUCCCCAAUUUAAAAAAAAAUCCUUCAGUGUGUGUGCUUUAUGAUGAACAUCUGAGCAGUUAAAGUGCUCAAUCCAGAACCCUGACAGCAGCACACUGCCAACCACAGCCAGCCAGUCAGUCACACACCUCCAGGCCUACAAUGCCCCGUUGUCACACAGACACGACAUGUACACUUACUUUUUCAUGCCUCUUUUGUGGACAGAGAAGAAACGUGACAAUGUCCAGGGCAUAGUCCAGUAACCAUUUCACCUUCAUUCAUUGUAGGUAGAAAACCAUCAUCCACAUUGUUGAUUCCCUAUGAUCAGUGGCCUCACAGAACCACUAUAUCAAGUUUUUAUUUAUUUUUCCGUUAUUUAACUAAGCAAGUCAGUUAAGAACAAAUUCUUAUUUUCAAUGACAGCCUAGGAACGGUGGGUUAACUGCCUUGUUCAGGGGUAGAACUACAGAUUUUUACCUUGUCAGCUCAGGAAUUUGAUCUUGCAACCUUUCAGUUACUAGUCCAACGCUCCAAACACUAGGCCACCUGCCACCCCAAGUCUUGCCCAUCUCAUAAUCAAGUCACAUUCACUAUCCAGGUCAACUAUAUUAAUACAUUCUCUGUGACGUGUUGGCUGUUAUGUACAAUAUGUUUGUGCUUUGAGCAUUCUAUCCGGUCAUGUGAGCUGAUAUGUGGUUAUUGUCUUAAUCAGGACAGAAGAACCCUCACCAGACGAUGAGAAAAGAAGGAACUAUGGCGGGGUGUAUGUAGGUCUGCCAUCUGACAUGACCACUGUGGCAGCCAGCCAGUCCAAGUCCACAGGAAAAGGACUGUAGAUACAUUAUUCAAAACAUACAGGGACAUUCAAUUCACACGUUGAGAGGAGGACUGUGCUCGGAUUACUGAUUCCCCAACACAAUACAGCCUUCGUAAGAGUGAGAGACCGUUCCCUGGCCCGCACCAUAAGGUCAGCCUACUUGGGUCCUGAGGAAACUGUGUCAGAGUGGCACCGAGUGGAGGCUCAAUGGACACCUUUUUCUGAGGAUUCUUUGCCCUUAUUGACACUCACAUAGAUGUGGACAGCAGAACCAGAGCAGUCGGUGGCUGUGGGAAGAACGUGAGCAUUUGGACCAACAUCCUGGACUAUAGGGAAAUGUUCUGGAGCAGCUUCUUGGGCUCAGGAAGAGACAAACACAGCCACCCUGAGACUCCUCCUCGACAGGCUCUGCCAGCGGCUGACAGGGACAAGAAUUCGACCCUAGCAUUUUAUCCACACCAGCCCACAUCACUGCAAGCACUGCCAACUCACGCCCAGUUACAGUUGGUGGCACCAGCCCAUGAUUUGGUAGAACCUAGAUCAUGCGUAAUCUCAAAAAGUAAUUCAUAGUGGUUUAUUAAGAAGUGUAAUAAGUUGUUUCAUCUAACGCAUCCAAGCAGGAAUGCAUGACUCAAGAUAUUUUGUGCAACAUAAUUCAGUGAUUGUCAUUAAUUUUGUUAGACUAUAGUUGCUAUAUUCCACUGUCAAAAUAGGACUCCAGUGCCUCCCGAGUGGCGCAGCAGUCUCUGCAUCACAAUGCUAAAGGCGUCACUACAGACCCAGGUUCAAUCCCAGGCUGUCUCGCAGCCAGCCGAGACCGGGAGACUGACGAGGUGGCCCAGUGUUGUCUGGGUUAUGGGAGGGUUAAGCUGGCUGGGAUGUCCUUGUCCCAUUGCACUCUAGCGGCUCCUUAUGACAGGCCGGGCACAUGCACGCUGACUUCAGUCACCAGUUGUACGGUGUUUCCUCCGGCAGUGCGGCUUGGCAGGGUUGUGUUUCGAUGCAUGGCUUUCAACCUUCCUCUUCGGAGUCCGUACGGGAGUUGCAGUACUGGUUUUACAAUGAAUCAACCUUGUUCAGUAAAGAACUGACUCACUGUACAUCAUCAAUAUGUGCAACAUAUCCUGCUGCCCAGUGUGCCACUGUCAGCAUCUCAACGUGGGCAGAGGGAGGAGGCAGCCAUUAAAAACCCCUACGGGAUCGGGGUCACUAUUGUGGGACAGUUGAGGCUAACAUGCUCUAAUGUGACUAGAAGGACGUUGUAAGUAAAAGCAAACUUUCCAGGACAUAGACAUGUCUUAUAUGGGCAGAAAUAUUACAUUCUUCUUAAUCUAACUGCACUGUCCAAUUUACAGUAGCUAUUACAGUGAAAAAUACCAUACUGUAUUGUUUGAGGAGAAUGCACACAACAACAAAAACUUUUAUCACAGCAACUGGUUUGAUACAUUCACCUCUGAAGGUAAAGGUAAUGUACUUACAUUCAGUAAUCUUGCUCUGAUUUUUCAUCCUGAGGGUCCCAUAUUUUUUUUUAGAAUUGUUUUGUUUGAUAAAAAUAAAUUUUUAUAUUCAAAAUGUAGGAACUGGGUUCUGUAGUUUGAACCCCUGCUAUCUCUGGCUCCAUACCCACCCCGCCCGGCCAUCUAGAUGUGUGAAAGUUAGUGUAUAAGCUAAAUGAUCCAUCAUGUAUGACAUUCCUGGGUAUGUAAACUUAAAUUAUUUUUGUAUGUUCACUAUAUUUAUGUAGUUGAAAAUGUAUCAAUUGACCAAUUCGGCACAUUUGGGCAGACUUGAUACAAAAUACUGUGCAGUAUUGCAAUGCUUCAUUGGCUCAAUCUGAACUUUGCACACAGGCUGCAUCUAGUGGCCAAAAUCUAAAUGACGCCUUAACUGCAAUAUUAUGGCCUUAU